CAGGAAGCUGAAGGGCGAGAGGGUGGACUUCUCUAGCUGGGGGUCUCCCACAGGGCUCGACGCCAGGGACCCCUUCGAUCUCCACCAGAUUGGUGCUGCUCAAUCCGUGAGUUGCAUCUAAUUAUGCGUUGGACAACUCAACAAGUUGAUUCUGAGUCUAUUCUGGUGCACAGUCGGUCGAUGCUUUCUAAUGAUAUACAGAUCUUCUAAUAUUGUAGAGCGCUAACAAAAAGACUCGCUUCAAGUGCCAAGAAGAUCAUUUCUUGCAAGAUAAGGGUGGAUAAAUCGUACAAGCUGACUGCCUGCAACCGGGAACCCGAUAUAUGCCCGGAUUAAGGAAAGAGUACCUUGUUGAACCAACUCUUUGGGCCAAAUUUUAGGGAGAUGGAUGCGUUCAGGGGAAGACUAUAUACAAGCGGUUCAGCCAAGGAGGACUCAAGUUUGCAACCACCACAGAGAUAAGGCUAUGGAACAAUAGUGUGUGCCUGUUCUGUGCAAUUUUUCUCUCAUCGAGGGAAAAAAGAUUAUGCAGUCUAUUGCAUAUGUUCGGUUUGGAGGGAGCCUGUAGAUGAUGGUGAUAUGGUUUCGUUUUCAUUCGAUGACUUGUUCAAAUGAUUCAAAAUAAAUCCAAAGCCAUUUGUUGCCUCUUGAAUUUCAUGUUCUACCCCAUGCAGAAAAUCUCUCAUGGUAUGUAUAAAAGCGAAUAUUAUCUGUUGAUGAGCUUGUUGCUAUUUGGUACUGCCCAUUAUUAGUUCCCUAGGGCUGUAAAAACAAAAACUUCAUUUCUACCCUAUGAUUAUGUGUCAAAGAUGUUUUGUAGAUUUCAAUUUUGAUUUCUUUAUCUUCAACAUGGUUGAUUUAGUUUCUUACCUUGCCUAAAAGUUCAGGUUGGAAUGUUGCCGGUCCAGCCUAUGGAGAUAAUGUAUCUGUUAUAAUGUGAUCACGCCAGAAAUUAUUUAUUUGUUAUAACCUGCAACUCACUUUGUUAACUUCUGUAGCACCAUUUUUUUUGACAGUGGGUUAGACAGGUGUGGUUUUCAGGUUGAGUUGCAUAUUAGUUUUUUUAGUUUUCCUGUGUCGGUUUUUCUGGUCCAGCCUAUAAGUUACUUAGUUUGAUUACUGCAUCUACAGUUUAUUGCUGCUUCUACUUCUAUUUCUACUUUAUUUCUGUAUUUACAUUUGAAUUAUUUCUGCACUUACUUUAUUUCUACUUCUACUAUUUUUCUACACCUACAGUUUUAGUGCUUUAUCUGCUCGUGGAGCUAUGCCUAUGUUGUAUUGGGCUAAAGUUUGAUUGCUUGCAAGUGUAUGUUGAUGUUGAAUACUGGAGUAAGGAUGAUGAUCAAUGCUCUAAUGAACCUGCAUGAUGUAGCAUUACUAUUAGGAUAUAGGGUUAGGCACAUACUUUUUUUGACAAUGGGUAGACACGUGUGGUUUUCAGGUGUAGUUCCCUAUUGGUUUAAUUAGUUUUCUUGUGUUGAUUUCUCUUUUACUGUAAAGGAGAGGCUGGCUGCUCAUGGCAGCGCCGGAUCCGGUGGUCAGCCGUCGUCGUUGACUGUCCUCUUUGACGCAAGAGCACAUGGAGAAGGAGCUCGUGGUAGCGCUGGAUCCGGUGCCCAGCCGUUGCUGUUGCCUGUCCUCUUUGACGCGAGAGCACAUGGAGAAGGGGCUCGCGGCAGCGCUGGAGAACCGGUGGCCAGCCGUCGCCGUUGCCUGUCCUCUUUGACGUGAGAUCCACGCUGCUCCACUUCAUCCAGGUUCACCCGGCAUCAUGGAGCUUGACGAUGUUUCUGGCUAGUUUGCCACAUAACUUGCAGUCCAGGUCGUUGCCAUAUUCGGGUUCUAGGUCACAGAAACAAAAUUUAGAGUUAAUUUAUCUGGCUCAAAAUAUUUUGGCUCGGUAAUUUCCUGCACUAGAUACCCUUUUUUGUGAAUUCUACAAUUUGUAGCUUUGAGCACAACUGACAUUCGUUUUAGUCAACUUACAUUCCUGGAUGUUUUCAAACUUAUGUUAUAUUCGUAAGUUCAGGCUUGCACUUGGCUUUAUCAGAAUUCGAAUAUGCAGAACAUGUGUUGGAGAAGUGCCAG